GACGAACGUUGGCGGCGUGCUUAAUACAUGCAAGUCAACUGAAGCAGUGGUAGCAAUAUCGCUGUGGAGGUGGCGCACGGGUGAGUAACACGUAGGUAAUCUGCCUUCAGGUCUGGCAUAACUCCGGGAAACCGGGGCUAAUAGCAGAUGAUGCAGCGGCUCGACAUCGAGACAGUUGUUAAAGCUAUGGCGCCUGAAGAUGAGCCUGCGUCUGAUUAGCUAGUUGGCGGGGUAACGGCCCACCAAGGCAACGAUCAGUAGCUGGUCUGAGAGGAUGAUCAGCCACACUGGAACUGAGACACGGUCCAGACUCCGACGGGAGGCAGCAGUAAGGAAUAAUGCUCAAUGGGGGAAAUCCUGAAGCAGCAACGCCGCGUGAGGGACGAAGGGCUUUUGCUUGUAAACCUCUGUAGUGAGAGAAAAAAAUCCCAAUCUUUGGGACAUGAUGGUAUCUCAAAAGUAAGCCCCGGCUAACUACGUG
rnacentral:rRNA from 1 species